GUUAUAGACGCCUUGUAUACUCUGGGUGUAUGGCGGGUCUGUAGUGUAUCGGGUAGCCUUCCGCUGGAAUCCGAGCGUGACAGGUUUGGUCGCCGAUUGCGACGAAACCCAUCCACUCUCCAAUCUCCAAAAAGCCCUUUUUGCGAUAAAACCCCUUUUUCGCGAAAACCGUGUAUCAGAACCCAAAUCCAUUAGCGCCAUUGGGUCUAGGAUAGUCGAACCAUCGAAAACGAGCUAUUGGAUCACUAUGAACGGAGUCCAAUAUGCACUAGAAGCCAUCUCCACUGAUUGGCCUCUCCGAAAAAUCAAAGUUACUAUUCUAUAACUUCUCCAUCCUAACUUGUUUUCUCCUGAAACAUGACGAGUGCUUAUAUAAUAAAAUUACACACAUAAACAUCCUCAACAAAGAGUUUAACUAUAC
rnacentral:lncRNA from 1 species